CUGUAACGCCCCAGCGCUGAGCGGGAUACAAGCGCGGGCUCGUAGCUGUCAGCAGCUGCCCGAGUGAGCGCGGGCUUGAGACCUGCUGAGCAGCGGGACCUGGCGGCUGGCGUUCUGGUGUGGGGCCGAGAACAGACCAUUCUUCUGAAAAGCCACUGGCCCCUUGUUCAAUGAAGUCGAUUUCUCAUUGUCUUCACCAAUCUUCUGAACCCGUGAAUACUUUUUGCAUGAUGAUUUGAAGCAGCCAGGAGGCCAAGACAGCGGCCAGGAGAAGCAGCAAGGAAUUGAGCCUUGUACAUUUUUCUCAAAAAAAUAAAAGAUGGGGAACCACCAUGCUCGAGAUAAGAAAUUAGUCUGUGAAGAGACCUUCAAGUUCUGUAAAUGGGUCUUGCUCUUUCACCCAGGCUGGAGUGCAAUGGGUGGCACAUUAGGUACAGGAGAGACCAACUCGGCUGCUGCCAAACAGGAAAGCUUAUCAUCUACACUGUUUCUUCCAUUAAGAAGAGCCCCCAGCUAUCAAUACAUUACAGCAGGAUGAGAAAGGCCCAGGCCUUUGACAUCCCAGGCUUUGACAGGCCCAGGCUUGACAGUGUCUUGGCACAAUGUUGUGGGAAGAAUAAGCACAAAGAAGAGGUGCCUCAGGAAGGUAUUUUCAACAACAAACCUUCAACACUAUGAACUACUACUUCUAACAGAGGUCCGAAGCACUAACACAGCCAUUCCCUGUCUCUCUUUAGCAGCCUUGCCUAAUCCACUUACAGCAUCUUGCCAAAUCAUCAUCCAAAUUCCCUUCAACUCUACUCUUCCAUAUGUGCUCCUAGUCUUAGGUUCAUGUGUGAAAGAAGCUUGUGAUUUUGAGACUCCAUUUCACAGUGGAUGUACAGAUGGUCUUUAUAAGAGGAAACACUCAGCCACCCACCUCAUGGGACUGCUAUGAGAAUGACUGAAAUAAUUAAUUGUGAAGAGCUUUGUACCCCUGGGAGUAAGAACACUAUGCCAGGUAGAAGAUGCCAAUCAAAAUAAACUGCAUUCCUAAGACACUGGGCAAGAAAUUAAAGCUAUUCAACUCCUCAAGGCCCAGGAACUAUCGUGGAAGAGGACACAACUGGAGAAACUGGUUAUUUUACCAAGGCUUAGGCUGGAAUGGUGUACUUUCCUUUAAAGAAUCAAACUUGACUUAUGGAGCCAAUAAAAGCCUCUUGGGAAAACUGGCCUCAUACUUGUCUACACAGUCCCUGUACAGGGUUCCUGACCU